rnacentral:lncRNA from 1 species
AAGAAGUCAGGCCGGAUUAAGCCAUAGUACGGUAAGAGCUAUGCUGCCUGUGAGCCCCGUCUAAGGACGUAAAAUGAAGUCAGGCCGAAAGCCACGGCUUGAGCAAACCGUGCUGCCUGUAGCUCCAUCGUGGGGAUGUAAAAACCUGGGAGGCUGCAACCCAUGGAAGCUGUACGCAUGGGGUAGCAGACUAGUGGUUAGAGGAGACCCCUCCCGAAACAUAACGCAGCAGCGGGGCCCAACACCAGGGGAAGCUGUACCCUGGUGGUAAGGACUAGAGGUUAGAGGAGACCCCCCGCAUAACAAUAAACAGCAUAUUGA